CCAACUUGAAAUUCAGCCCAAUUACGACGUCCUGAGCUCUAUAAGAUAAAAUACUAAAAAUAAUAGUACCUAAAAAAAUAAAAAUAAAAUAAUAGUCAUCAGUCAUCACCGCCCUUGUAAAUCCAAUUAUAUAUAUUCCGUUCUCUCUCAUUUUUGUUUGGUUAGCGAGAAAUCUCAGAGAGAAGAAAAAAAAAAAAAAACCCGGAAUAUAGUGUCUUAGAUUUCGCUCAUCUUAAAAAGAAACCCACCUCCAAAUUUUUGGUCCGGUUCGAGAAUUCGGCUUCUUACGGCUCUCUGUACACACAGCCAAGGCUGAGGCCAACAAAAGCAACCCUUUUUCACAAGGUGAUUCGAUCUAUUUUUGUUUGAGGGAUGGAUAUAGACAAAAAGAGCCACACAGUGCUAUUGAAGAGAAACAGAGACAUGGGAUUUCUCUAUCAAUUGCUCCAAAUUUAUAGAAACCAAAUUAAGAUGUAAAGAAAAAUUCCAAAACCAAAUAAGACGGCAAGGAAUUUUUCUUACGUAAACAAGCAAAGCAAAGCAAGAACCUCAACAACUCUCAACUCUCACAGAACCUCUCUCAACAACUCUCACAGAACAUCAUACAACUCUCAUAAACUCUCAUACAUCAGCAGCAAAAUAUUGCUCCUCUCACUCUCAUACAUUCUCAGCAGUACAUUUGCUCAUCCUCAUG